rnacentral:rRNA from 1 species
GACGAACGCUGGCGGUGUGCUUAACACGUGCAAGUGGCGCGACGAACCAGAGCUUGCUCUGGGGCAAAGCCGCGAACGGGUGAGUAACACGUGGGUAACCUGCCCCGAUGACUGGGACAACCCGGGGAAACCCGGGCUAAUACCGGAUGAUGCAUCCAGGCUCAAGCCUGGAUGCCAAAGGUAGCUUCGGGUUCCGCAAUGGGAGGGGCCCGCGGCCCAUUAGCCUGUUGGUGGGGUAAUGGCAUACCAAAGCAACGAUGGGUAGCUGGUCUGAGAGGACGAUCAGCCACACUGGGACUGAGACACGGCCCAGACUCCUACGGGAGGCAGCAGUGGGGAAUCUUGCGCAAUGCGCGAAAGCGUGACGCAGCAACACCGCGUGAGGGAAGACGGCCUUAGGGUUGUAAACCUCUUUCAGUUGGGACGAAGGUUCGACGGUGAAUAGCCGGCCGGACUGACGGUACCUUCAGAAGAAGCUCCGGCUAACUACGUGCCAGCCGCCGCCGUAA